AAUAAUAAUAGUUCUUCUGGAAUUUUUGAUGUUGCCAAUUUUACUUUUCCAUUCUGGAAGCAAAAUGUCGGUGGCUCGUAUUCAAAUCUUUUAGCUCCGCAAUAGCUACAUGGAAGGACCUUUUUAAGCUUGUGUAGAGGCGAGCAUACCGGUUCAUAUGACAUUUCUCCAUCAUAUUCAACCUUGUCCAUUUGGGCUCUACAUAACCAUUCAACACGUGGUUUUUUUGAAUUCGUUUGCUCAUCAUUACUCUCUAUAUCUGGCAUUAUAUUUCCCAGAAAUGGCGAACAAUCUGCUUCUGCAGAAAUGCGAUAUUACAUCACCAAGCUCGAUGUUGAGGAACAGAUGCCGGUUCGACUCCAAAUCAGGUCUGGAACAACAGAGAUAGUUAGCUUUUGAAUUUUGAGAAAGAAGAUUGAUUAUUUUAAAAUCCUGGAAAAAGAAGAAUCAUGAGUAUGCAGCUUUUGGAGAACCAACCCAGGAAACUCAAUUUCAUAUGUUUUGGAUCUUUAAUUUGAAAGAAAAAGCUGAAGAUAGGGAGGUAAAGAAGGUUUAAAAGUAGGAGCUGAAUAUGGGGAGGUAAAGAAGAAAAGUUGCAGGUUUUGGAUUUUUAGUUUGAAAGCAGGAGCUGAAUAUGGGGAAAAUACAGGAGAUGAAGAUGGAUUCAAAGAAGAAUUGAAAGUAUGAGAGCUAUGAUAUGAUUAUUUAAUGAGAAUGAAGGUUGUCAUAUUCUUGUAUUUAUAGUGGUAAAUUUGUGCAACUCCUCUUAGGAUUAGGAACACUUAUUUGUUAUAGAUUCUUGUAUGUUUUUAAUAUAUCCUUUAAGGAUUAGGAGUGUCAAUUUGUAUAUUAUGAUCUUUUAGGAGAAUUAGGA